UGGGGAAUAUUGCACAAUGGGGGAAACCCUGAUGCAGCGACGCCGCGUGAGCGAAGAAGGCUUUCGAGUCGUAAAGCUCUGUCCUAUGAGAAGAUAAUGACGGUAUCAUAGGAGGAAGCCCUGGCUAAAUACGUGCCAGCAGCCGCGGUAAUACGUAUGGGGCGAGCGUUGUCCGGAAUUAUUGGGCGUAAAGGGUACGUAGGCGGUCUAUUAAGUCAGGUGUGAAAGCGUGAGGCUUAACCUCAUUAAGCACUUGAAACUGAUAGACUUGAGUGAAGGAGAGGAAAGUGGAAUUCCUAGUGUAGCGGUGAAAUGCGUAGAUAUUAGGAGGAAUACCGGUGGCGAAGGCGACUUUCUGGACUUUUACUGACGCUCAGGUACGAAAGCGUGGGGAGCAAACAGG
rnacentral:rRNA from 1 species